rfam:Acidisphaera rubrifaciens HS-AP3 DNA, contig: Asru_0190.
CGCCUGUUGAAAAAGUCGGGGAUGAGCUGUGGCUAGGGGUGAAAGGCCAAUCAAACUCGGAAAUAGCUGGUUCUCCGCGAAAUCUAUUGAGGUAGAUCGUCGCGUAUGACUUCCGGGGGUAGAGCACUGGAUGGGCUAGGGGGACCCAAAGUCUUACCAAACCUAACCAAACUCCGAAUACCGGAAAGUCGAGCGCGGCAGACAGACGGCGGGUGCUAAGGUCCGUCGUCGAGAGGGAAACAGCCCAGACCACCAGCUAAGGCCCCCAAAUCGUGGCUAAGUGGGAAAGGAUGUGGGAAUUCCAAAACAACCAGGAGGUUGGCUUAGAAGCAGCCAUCCUUUAAAGAAAGCGUAAUAGCUCACUGGUCUAAUAGAAAUCCUGCGCCGAAAAUGUAACGGGGCUCAAGCCACGUGCCGAAGCUGUGGGCGCAGCAAUGCGCGGUAGCGGAGCGUUCCGUAGGCCUGUGAAGGGACAGGGGUGACCCGUCCUGGAGGUAUCGGAAGUGCGAAUGCUGACAUGAGUAGCGACAAACAGAGUGAGAAACUCUGUCGCCGAAAGUCCAAGGGUUCCUGCGCAAGGUUAAUCCGCGCAGGGUGAGCCGGCCCCUAAGGCGAGGGCGAAAGCCGUAGUCGAUGGGAAUCAGGUGAAUAUUCCUGAGCCUGCCAGAAGUGACGGACGCAGACUGUUGUCGGGGCUUAACGGAUUGUCCCGGCUUUGCGCGCGUUCCAGGAAACAGCUCUGGCGAUAAGACCGUACCCGAAACCGACACAGGUGGACUGGUAGAGCAUACCAAGGCGCUUGAGAGAACGAUGCUGAAGGAACUAGGCAAAUUGCUCGCGUAACUUCGGGAUAAGCGAGACCCAAUGGCGGGCAACCGUGAUUGGGUGGCACAGAGCAGGGGGUAGCGACUGUUUAGUAAAAACACAGGGCUCUGCGAAGUCGAGAGACGACGUAUAGGGUCUGACGCCUGCCCGGUGCCGGAAGGUUAAGAGGAGGUGUGCAAGCACUGAAUCGAAGCCCCGGUAAACGGCGGCCGUAACUAUAACGGUCCUAAGGUAGCGAAAUUCCUUGUCGGGUAAGUUCCGACCUGCACGAAUGGCGUAACGACUUCCCCACUGUCUCCAGCAUCGGCUCAGCGAAAUUGAAUUCCCCGUGAAGAUGCGGGGUACCCGCGGUCAGACGGAAAGACCCUAUGAACCUUUACUGCAGCUUUGCAGUGGCAUUAGGAGAGCACUGUGUAGGAUAGGUGGGAGGCAUUGAAGCCGGGGCGCCAGCUCUGGUGGAGCCAACCUUGAAAUACCACCCUGGGCGCUUCUGAUGUCUAACCGCGACCGGUCAGCCCGGUCCGGGACCCUGCAUGGUGGGCAGUUUGACUGGGGCGGUCGCCUCCCAAAAAGUAACGGAGGCGCGCGAUGGUGGGCUCAGGCCGGUCGGACAUCGGCUGUCGAGUGCAAUGGCAUAAGCCCGCCUGACUGCGAGAGUGACAGCUCGAGCAGAGACGAAAGUCGGCCAUAGUGAUCCGGUGGUCCCGCGUGGAAGGGCCAUCGCUCAACGGAUAAAAGGUACUCUAGGGAUAACAGGCUGAUCUCCCCCAAGAGUCCACAUCGACGGGGAGGUUUGGCACCUCGAUGUCGGCUCAUCACAUCCUGGGGCUGGAGCAGGUCCCAAGGGUUCGGCUGUUCGCCGAUUAAAGUGGUACGUGAGCUGGGUUUAGAACGUCGUGAGACAGUUCGGUCCCUAUCUGCCGUGGGUGUUGGAGACUUGAGAGGAUCUGUCCCUAGUACGAGAGGACCGGGAUGGACGCACCUCUGGUGCACCGGUUGUCGCGCCAGCGGCACCGCCGGGUAGCUAAGUGCGGACGGGAUAACCGCUGAAAGCAUCUAAGCGGGAAACCCACCUCAAAACCAGGUCUCCCCGAGGGCCGUGAUAGACCAUCACGUCGAUAGGCCGGAGGUGCAGGCGCGGCAACGCGCAUAGCCGACCGGUCCUAAUCGCCCGACAGGCUCGAUCUU